rnacentral:rRNA from 1 species
UACGAAGGGGGCUAGCGUUGCUCGGAAUCACUGGGCGUAAAGGGUGCGUAGGCGGGUCUUUAAGUCAGGGGUGAAAUCCUGGAGCUCAACUCCAGAACUGCCUUUGAUACUGAAGAUCUUGAGUUCGGGAGAGGUGAGUGGAACUGCGAGUGUAGAGGUGAAAUUCGUAGAUAUUCGCAAGAACACCAGUGGCGAAGGCGGACUCACUGGCCCGAUAACUGACGCUGAGGCACGAAAGCGUGGG